UACGGGGGGGGCAAGCGUUGUUCGGAAUUACUGGGCGUAAAGGGCGCGUAGGCGGUCAGACCAAGUCGAAUGUGAAAUUCCAGGGCUUAACUCUGGCGGGUCGUUCGAUACUGGUCGACUAGAGUGUAGAAGAGGAUGUCGGAAUUCCCGGUGUAGCGGUGAAAUGCGUAGAUAUCAGGAGGAACACCGGUGGCGAAGGCGGGUCUCUGGGCCGUAACUGACGCUGAGGAGCGAAAGCGUGGGGAGCGAACAGG
rnacentral:rRNA from 1 species